CAUGAUUAAAGCUGAGACCAGCCUGGAAGAAAAAACAUGUUUUUCCAUGCAGUGGAACUAAAAAAGCCUGAUUUUCUAAGAAGUUAUUUCACCUUGCCACUCUAACACUAGCUUCCUUCUUCCUGACGUCCUUUAUUAACUUUUUUCUGGUAAGUCUGUAACAGUGUUUCUGUUCACUCUGACAAUGCAGUCCUUUUUUUAUGGGUUGCCACCUGAGCAAAGAGGGCAUAGGCUUUUUAAAGAACAUGUGGACUACCAAUUACUGUCUCACUUGGGUAAGAAUGGACUUGUUUGGUCAUUUGCCAACAAACCAGGAGGUGUAAGUUAAAUUAUUAUCUCAUUCUAGGAAAAUCAGUCCCAAAUAUCUUAUGGCGUGCAGUAAGCUGGGCUAGAAUUGUUUUCUAGUCCUCUUUUUUCCAUUCUGGCUGAGAAUGGAAGAGUUAAAGUGACAGCAAAAAAUAUAACCAGGACAGACUAACUAGAGGUUCAUCCUUAAGGUACUUGGAUGGGAAGGAAUGAGGGUUGCUUGAUCCUUGCUCAAAUUUUCUCUUUAUUUUAAUGGCAGCUUAAUGUAAAAUACAUGAAGAGAUCUGAAGGAAGGAAGGAAACACAAUACUUUAGAAUAGUAAUGCACAAGAAUCUGCAAGAUAGCCUGGAUCUGAAUGCAGAUGUGGAAAAUUACCUGCUGCUUAAUUGGCAGGAUGGUUGAGUCUGCUACAGAAGUUAAGGAAGAACAUGACAAACAAAGUGAUUUGCGUGACUGAUUAGGAAUUGUCUUUGAGCCUUGUCUAGCUUGCUCUGCUGGUGACAAAUUCACAAAGAAAUGUCAAAGGGACAGGCCAGUAGUUUUAUUUGGAUAAAAGUCAGAAGGAAAGGUCUGGAGUUGUAGAUUCUUUGGCAAUCACUACAGAGAUGACAGACGGAAUUGUCUAUUCAGAUAAAUGCAGAAUAAGAUGUGAAGGGAGAAUGAAGGAAGCUCAAGAAAAGACCCCUGCAGAGAAAGGAGAGGACAUGCUGUAGUAGAUUUGUGGAAGACAAAGGUAAAAGGAAAACUGUCCUUUGUUGUGUGUGUCUGUGCAUGUGAGCAUACGGAAGGGAGAGGAGGCUAAGAGAAGAAAGACUGUGGCAGGGGAAAAAGGACUAAAUUACUUACCACUGCAAUUUUUUUAGACCAAAAUCAAAUACUUGGCAAUUAACUGAUAUUUCACAAGUUGUAUAUUAAACACUGAAAGUUUGCAUAUAAGGACUUGAGAUGUUGCCAUCCUGAAAUUAGCCAGCUAUUUCUGUCAAAUUAGACUAGCAGAAGUCUAACUAAUUUGUUUAACUUUAUUUUCAAAAUAAAUGUCCUAAAAACAUGUUCUGAAAAUGUUCUUGAAGAGCAAUCAAUACUGUUUGUCUGAACACAGGUAAGAAAGCCAAAAAAGCUAGGUGACCUUAACUUUAGACUUACAACAGCUGUUUUGUGUGGAAUGUGGAAAACCAAGUGCAUGUUUGUUUAGAGCUCCAUAAAAUCCUGUGAACAUUUGCAGUUUAAAUGUUUGAGUAAACAAACCUGCAAGGUUAAGAAGGGUGACAUCCAUAUAUUCUCCUGCAUGUGUUGAAUUACACUAAGUUAGAUAUGACAGGUAAAUCUUAUUGCCAAGACUGAAAAGAUCAGCUAAACACGUGCUACUUCUUACUGAAAGCCCUGCUAAUGAAGGAUUAAAAAAGCAGAGGUAACUGUGUGGGACAUGCACAGAGGAAUAAUUUAAUUCAGGAAAUGCUGAAUGCAGAAAAAGACUGUGUCAAUAUGGAAGCGGAGUGUAAAAAAAUGCACUAAAAAUUGAAAACAAAAGCAGCAGAAAGACCCAGCAGUGUGACCCAAAUUUCAUGGGACCUAUUAAGAUUUAUCAGAACAACACAAACCCACAGAACUAAAGAAUAAUUCAUACUGGAGGAUCUCUAAUUCAUCCUCUGCUGAAAGCACGCACCCAUGAGACCAGAACCUAUUGCUCUGGGUUUAUCUACUCACAGCAUAAAAAUCUCAAAGGAUGGGUACAGCACAAGGACUCUGAGGUAGCAUGUUCCACUGCCUGACUGUCCUUAGGGUGAACAAGCAGUACCCGAUACAAGUGAGAACCUUUCUUGUUUCAGUAUCACCUGUUGUCUGUUGUCCUCCUACCAUGUGGAGCCUGCCCUCAUCCCCCCAGUGACUUUCCUGCAGGUACUGGACUAUUGCCAUCAAAAUGGAGGCCUGUAUUUUUCCUUUCUGUUUAUAGUUCUACCAUCCCAUUGUCACUGUCUGGCUGUAAUCCAAACUCUUUACUUUCUUGGAGCACUCUUCUGAAUUUUAGGCUGUCUUUCUGAUGCAGUAAUUGUGUAUUAAUUCUAUGAUGUUUGUUGCCCUUUUUCCAUUUUGGAAGUAAAUGAAAAGUGUGAAAUGAAAAGGACAGCUCCUUCAGUCACAUUUGGCUAAGUGUGAACAAUCUAGGAAAACAAGAAAAAAGCACUUGACCUACAUGAAAAAUGGUAUACCAGCACCAAUCUAAUAUGAAUAUUAUGAAUACAUGAAUAUUUCUAUAAAAGGAAACAAAAUUGAAGUAGAUCAUGAAAAUUAAUUCUAAUGAGCUACUGCUGUUUCUUCAAAACAGUCUUCACUUGAAGAGAUAAUUUUGUUUAAUUUUUCUAGAAUAAGUUUUAUUAAAUGAAAAAAAUUUCAUCAGCUUCUGUAGAAUUGUCAGCUAGGACAUCAAACAGAUCUAAAACCCCACCAAAAUACUAAAAACAAUUAUUUCUGUGUGAGACAAUUACCAAGUCAUAUAUUAACACUAAAUUAUUUGCCUUGUUAUACUGUGUAUUUCAACUUCCCUCUAUUCAUAUUGUCUGUGUACAGAUGCAGUUAGAAAUCCACUUUGUUGCAAAUAAACCAGCUGGUCUCAGUAGGGCAGAUAAAACAGAGGGGUUCAGCAAAGACUGCGAGCCAGCUUGUGGGCUUUCACACACUCAGGACAAAUGGCUGAUAAUGAAACAGCCUUUAAAUCAGGGAUUUUACUACAGGCUCAGGAAAGGAUUACAUGUUUUGACUGGUGUAAUAUCAGCCUUCCCCAGCCAGUUUGGGAUGAACGUUCCAAAAACUGUGCAAGUGCAAGCAGCUAAAAAAACCCCAAGAACCCACUGCUAAGAUAUUCAGUAAAACCUUUUCAUAUUCUGUGUGCAGAAGAAAUAGUUCAAGAAUAUUUUGCGCUUGGGGAAAGAGUAAUUCUGAAAUUGGCAUGCUAGAAAGAGCUUGGCCUAAUGCAGCUGCCUGUCAUUACAGAUAAAAAAGCCCCUAAGGCUGGAGAUGCCUCCCCAAGGCCCUGGGAGCACAUCCGUAAUUCUCUUCACUGUGGUGAGAGGCUGACGUUACUUCCUCAAGGACGGAUACAAUUAAGAUUGAUGUGUAGAGAAAAAAACAUCACCUUGCCCUUACUCAGAAACAGAAAAUAAGUUUAUUUUUCAGGUUGAGAUGCAUUCCUAUAGCUAACACCUUGCGAGCUGAGAAGGAUCAAGUAGAAAAUCGCAAACUAAGAAGGAGUUUGUAAGAACUUCUGGAAGAAAGAGGUAUUGAUGAAAGUAUUCUUGGAAGCCAGCAACGAUGACACUGAGUGUUUCACAAAAACCUCUACAAAAGAAAUAAACCUGAGUAUCACAAAAUUCAGAUUACAAGUGUAAGCCUUCACUGCCUUUCCCAGCAAGAUGAAGUAUUAACUUGUCCCUUAAAUGGUUUUUUUUUUGCUGUGGAAAGAAGUGAAAGACAAAGUUUAUGUUGACCUAAAUGUAUUAGAUGGAAAGAACAGUAACACCAGAUCUUGACACCGGAUAGCACAAGAGUGGAGCACAGGUUAGGGAUGGGGUUUGUCAGUAAAUGCAGAGGGCUGAAUAGAUCUCAAGGGUGAGGACAAGGUGCUUAAAUGCUCUUCAAAGAAAUAAAGGGCCUGAGUGCACUGGCUGCCAGAGAAAAGGGAGAAACAGGAAAAGAAGCUCAGUUUAAGCAGAUUCUAUGCAGGAGCUGUUUCCAUUAGCUGGAUUUUUCUGUAAUGAAAAGAAGUCUUUAUAUUUUGAACCAUUACUGUGUGCAUAAAGUACAAAAUUUCAGGUGUAAUUUUUGCAACUAGAGAGGAGUCAUUGCUGAAUUUGAACCUUCAACAGCUUUAUGAUUUACUGUAACCAUGUGCCCUAGAUAAAAGUAAGAACUAUUUGCUUAGACCAUAAGCUGACUACUGACCCCAUACAGAGUUCUGUUAAUGAUUUACACAUUCAAGAAAGGAAGCCUUCAGAUAUAGGUAUAUCAGCACAAUAAAGCAAAUUUGCAAUAAAUUCUGAGGCCAUGAGGUAAUGAAGUAUUUUCUUUCACUCUGUGACUGUACAGAAGCACCAAAACCCUGCUCAGUCACAAAAUAUUAGUAUUGAGACCAAAAUAUUGGUCUCACCAAUCUGAGCUGCUUUAUAGGAAAGUAAGCAGCCCUGCUCCAUCACAAGAUGAUAAUAAUAAUAACAAAGAGGUAAGAAUGAGAAGAAACAAACAGUCUUGGUUAUCCCAAUGCCCUUUUGGCUAAAACAGACCAUGUACACAAGCACAAUCCUGUAAGCAAAAGAGCAGAUCAAAUUAAGGAAGCUACAGGGGAAAACAGCAAGAAAAGACAUGUAGAAGGGAAAUGUAAAUAAAAGAGUAUACUUGAAACUAAGAACUAAGGUUGAUUGUGGCCUAAAAACAUGACAUGAAAAAGUAGAUCUCAGCAGCAGGGAAUUCUUGGUGUAGAUGCAAACUUCAGUCCUUCAUACAACAGAAAAGAUGACGGCUGCCUAAAGCACAGAGCUUUUAAAAUAUUCUGUCUAAAUAAAGACAAAUAUCUAAAUAUAAAGAAUAAGUAUCUAAAUAUAAAGAAAUACUCUGUCUAAAAAAUUACAUCUAGAGGUAAUAAUUGCUGUGGUUUUUAAAUUUUCAAAAGAUUUUCUUUAGAAUUUAUGCAACCAAUGUGAGAUUAGGUCACAAAUGCAUUGAUCCAUUCAGCUUAAUCUAUUUUUUCUCUAAAAAUCAUUAUUCUGAAUAUUAUGCAGAGGAAUACUGUCUCUGUGCAGGAGCUCCUUCAGCUCUACAUCUAGCUGUUUACCAAGCAGGUGACCAUGAAACUACAAAAAAUACCUGUGAACAAACAAACUUGGUAUUUCAUAACAUAUUUUGUUUUUAUUACCACAACGUGAAAUUUCAAGCAUUCUUUUUUCCUAUAGAGAGCCAGCAUACAGAAGAUAUGAACAAAAAACCUUCCUAAAAUCCUUGGAAAUACCAGGAUCCUGUUAACCAUGGUUUUAUUUAAACAGGACUAUAAAUAAGGGAUGAACAAGGACUCACCCAAUAUGUGUGUAUUGAUAGGUACACACAUGUGAUAUGUACGAUUCUAGACAUUCCAUGUCACGAUUUAAAAACUAUCCUCUUCUAUUCUGCUUGAAUAUGCUGAUACACUAAUUAUUGAGGCUACCAGGAAAAAUAUGGAUCUUAUAUAAAAUACUUAUUAUUAAGAUUGCUGUGAUGCAAGAUCAGGAUAUCUGAUCUUAGAUGAAGAUAUAUUUAUCUCUAUACAUACAAAGAGAGAUAGUUAACUGAGCUUCAAUUUAAGUAACAACUACUUCAUUGCAUAUAAUGAUGAAACAAAGAGCUUUUGCUGCCUUAUAAAGUGUAUCUUAAACUAUCUUGAAGAGGAAGAGAUAUUCAUUUGCUUUGUUUCCACUUGUCCAAAAAUUUUUUCGACUUUAGAUCCCAAAUAUUGAUUUUAUUCCACUGUGUUACCGGUUGUACAUGUGGGAGGAAAAGCUGCAGCAAAGGCAGGGAGCAGAGGCUCAGCAGGUGGGUACAGGAAAAGAUGAAGUCCCUGCUGCAGCUCCUGCUGUUAAUGCUGUUCAGAGAGAAGAGGCCUCCAGCUUGUGAGGCAGCUGGGGCUGCCAAAGAAAGCUCAAGGACACGGGUACAUGAUGAGGAGAUUUGUGCUCUACCAUUGUUACACUUUUACAUACAGUAGGAUUUGAUGAUGCUGGAGGUCUUUCUAGCUACAGGGAUUCUGUGAUACAGGUCCCAGUGCUUGAUAUGCAGAUCUCAAGGGCAUGAUAAGAAAUUGCUUUGGAUCAGGAGCACUCCUAAAUAAUGAACAUAUUUUGUAACUGGGAAAAGAGGAGCUAUAUUGUUGGUGUGAACUAGCCUUGUUCUCAGCAUGCUAAAUAGAGCCAGUCUUUCCAGACAUUCCAGGUCAUUAUUUAAAAAGUCAUUCUCUUCUAUUCUGCUUGAUUAUACUGAUACCUGAUAAUGAGACUACCAGGAAAAAUAUGGAUCUACACUACUUAUAAUUAAUAAUAGUGUAAUGCAAGAUCAGUAUAUCUGAUCUUAGAUGAAGGGAAAAAAUUUUUACUUUGAUAAGGCUUUGCUUAAGUACGCACCUUUAAAGUGUCUUAAAGUUUGUAUAAAUAUCUUUUUUUUUUCUUUUUUUUUAGAGAGAGAGAAAUGGGAAUUUAUUAAUAGUACAUUUAAACAGUGAAUAGCAUUUAUUUCCUGGUUCUGUAUUAAAACCAGAAAUUCUCCUUCUUAUCCACUAUCUUUACAAUUAAGCUUGAUAUGAUAACCCCCUGUGACAAAAGAAGCACUGGAUUUGAGAUACUCUUACACAAGAAGACUGGAGCUCAGACACACUCUUCAAUGGCACUGCAAGAAGCCCGAGUAGCUUGUAAGGCUGGGUAUACAACCUGCAGAAGUGUUUGCAGCAGCUAUUGCUGCCAAAAUCAGAGUUACUUACAAUUAAAAAAUGGCAGCCCUAAAAAGAAUAGGAAAUAAAUUACCAGGAAUAUAUACAGUGAACGCAUAUUCAGUUUCUUCAGAAACUCUAUUAAUUACAGAUUUACUUCUUCCAUUACAUUGCCAGAAUCCACUCUUAAUGCUGAACACCAAUUCAAUGCUAAAAUUUUCCAUGAAUCCUGUAAAAGAUCUCCAGCUUUG